CCCGCGUUGUCUUUGUUGUCAGGAGCGGGGGGAAGAGGAGCGAGGGGGAAACUGCGAAAGAAAGGGGGAAAAAAGCGCUGAGAGAAAGAGAGAGAGAAGGGAGAGAACGGGCUGCCCGCGGGGCCACAGUCUGUCCCGAGGCGGGCGCGGAGCGCUGUGCUGCCUCCAUCCGCGCUGAGCGCAGCGGGACGGGCUGCUGUAAGCGCGGGGCUCCUGGUCUCAUCGCAGGUGGUUCCCAAACGUGCCGAGGGCGUUAGGCCGCCGGCUGAGCUCGUUUACCUGCGAGUGACUCCUCUUUUUCUUCCUGUUGGAAGAGGAGCCUCCGUUUUUAGCUUCUUCGUCUGUAUUUCUGCUCUCUUUGUCCAAAUCUGCUGAAGCUUCACUUUGUCCCACAGAAUCACAGAAUGGCCAGGGUUGGAAGGGACCUCAAGGAUCAUGAAUCUCCAACCCCCCUGCCACAUACAGGACCACCAGCCUCCACAUUCAAUACUAGACCAGGCUGCCCAGGGCCCCAUCCAACCUGGCCUUGAACACCUCCAGGGACGGGGCAUCCACAACCUCUCUGGCAGCCUGUUCCAGCACCUCACCACUCUCUGUGUAAAGAACUGCCCCCUGACAUCCAACCUGAAUCUUCCCUCCUUCGACUUAAAACCAUUUCCCCUUGUCCUGUAGUUAUCUACCCUUUCAAAGAGUUGAUUCCCCUCCUGUUUGUAGGCUCCCUUUAGGUACUGAAAGGCUGCAAUGAGGUCACCCCACAGCCUUCUUUUCUCCAGGCUGAACAAGCCCAGCUCCCUCAGCCUGUCUUUGUAGGGGAGGUGCUCCAGCCUUCUGAUCAUCUUCGUGGCUUUCCUCUGGACCCUCUCCUUUGAUAUUCCCACUAGAGAGGAAUUAGGAUCCCCACUCCGUGAGCACACACAUCCAGGCAUUACCCAGGUGCAGAAAACAGGCUCAGAUUGCUCUGCAGUUCAUCCCUAUGGUGCUCUGUGCCCCACAGUCUGUUUCAUUGCAAUAAGUGACAGAAACAGGACGGAGUCUGCAACAUAGCACAGUGUGUGGAUGUUUAGAGUAUGAACCAAAAAAAAUGACCUUUGGGGAUGAAAUGUAUGUUUAUAUAUUGCUGUACGUACUUGGAUUAAAUCAGCUUCUUUUGUAUAUUUAUCACCAGGAUUAUUUUGAGUUUCUUCAGAGCAGAUGCCUUGCGUCAUGGCACAGUGACAGAAGCAUCUUGAAUCAUCCCAGUGAUGGAAAGCUGCUGGGCCCGUCAGACUGCAGCUUGAGGAGCUGAGUAAUGCUGAGCAUCCAAUGUCAUGGGCUCUCCGAAAACCCCAGCCGCAAGAAGCAAGUCUCUGUCGGAAGGAUAUUGGGCACUCAGCAGGUGGUGCUGUUUCCACUGGGUCUAUCCUAAAUAAUCCACUGCCCCUGCACGUCCAAGGGAAAUCAGUGAGUAGGGAGAAGUGUCUUCUGUGGGGAAAGGCUGAAAUCAUGAGUGCUAGCGUGUAUUAAAAGACUACUCAGGUCUUUGUGUGCAGCUGUUCUAUCAGUGGGGAAAAAAAGGCAACCAAAGUACCUGUGUGAAACGUGGCAAAUGGAUGAAAACCAGAAUGUGUGUGUUGCUGCUCUCAGUUCUGAUGCCUUUUAAGUCUGUUGUCAAGUGCCAACUUAUGCAAUCAGAGCUAUGCUGAGGAAAUGUUUUGAAGUGCAACAUGAUCCCCAAAAAGUCAAUAUCAGCACUGCAAGCUGGGCAGCUAUUUGUCUUGUCCAUGUCCACAGUUUUGAGCCCUGACUGUGACCUGUCUCAUACCCCAGGUGAGUAUUUCAUCACAAGAGUGAAGGUAGGUGUGAGGUAUGUUUCUUCCUGUAUGUAGAUCCCAUGGUUACUAUAGAGAGAAGAACCUCAUAAAAAUUGAUUAUUUUUAAUUAAAUGCAGUAAAGUGAUGUGCCUAGACAGAUGAGACAGUAUCAGUAUUGAAUAUUGAGUUCCCUCUUCUGUACACUAUCCUUCUCUUUGAAACAUGCAAGGAAGGUGUAUUACCAGACACAUGCAAACAGUGAAGAAAAAAAUGAACAGCAAAGGCAGCUGGAAUGCUAGAUUUCCCUAUCUUUUGCAUUCUUGACCUUACAGACCUCUCCACAUCAUUUUUGUGUUUAAGCAUUAACCAUUUAUAUUCUAAGAAUACUUUGUAGUCCUCAUCAAAUUUUAUCUCCAUUGCUUUAGACACUGCAGAGGCAAUUGUCCCUGCUCUGAAAUCUGGCACUUUACAUCAGUAUUUCCCAACCCCUUCUGAGCUCAGACAGCUAUUUUGCUGCAAUAUGUACGAUUUCCCCAACAUAUACUGCAUAUCCACACCUUUAAACAGGAUAUAACACUUUGCUGAAGCUACCAACAAUUUCUGGGUACCUUGCCACAGGCGUUUUGCAUGGUGAUAGCUAGCUUGUUCCAGUGAUACAUUCAGUUUGAAGAGUGUGGUUAUGUUACACAUACUAUCAAUUUGUGUUCCAUUAGGUGUCUGUAACAUCACACAACUACCAUGGUUACAUCCAGAUUGAAAAGCAUUGCUGUACACACACAAGAAAGGAAGAAUUGGGAGAGAGAAGCAGAAAGUUGGAAGUACUCACACAUCUGAGGACCAACGAUGGCAGAGAUCAACAGGAAAGACAGACAGAUGUCCUCCACCCUCUGAACCAUAAAGUAGAAACACAGAAUCAUAGAAUCAUUAAUGUUGGAAAAGAGCACUAAGAUCAUCUAGUCCGAUCACCAAGUACAUACACGUGGGAAAAAACUGUGGGAAGAAACUAAGGACAGAGUAAAUGUGUUAGCAUCCCAAGGGAAAGCAGAGCCUUGGCCAUAACCUGCACUUCCACCCAUGGCUUCAAAGUCAAGCAGCAGUGGGUUGUGUGUGAUCAAGAAAGAAACCAUGGGAAGUGUUGCACCAGAGCCCUCUCCAGUGGAUUGUGAAGACAUAGUGCAAACACAAUAGAUCCAUUUCAGCUUGAUCAGCUUAUGUUCUCAGCUGAAUCUCUAGUCACCAAUUCUAAUACGAAUAAUAAUAAGAAUUUAUGACAGGAACA